rnacentral:rRNA from 1 species
AACCCAGUGUGAUUCGUCACACUAUCAUUACGUGAAUACAUAGCGUAAUGAAGCGAACCGGGGGAACUGAAACAUCUAAGUACCCCGAGGAAAAGAAAUCAACCGAGAUUCCCCCAGUAGCGGCGAGCGAACGGGGAGCAGCCCAGAGUCUGAAUCAGCUUGUGUGUUAGUGGAACGGUCUGGAAAGUCCGACGGUACAGGGUGAUAGUCCCGUACACCAAAAUGCACAGGUUGUGAACUCGAAGAGUAGGGCGGGACACGUGGUAUCCUGUCUGAAUAUGGGGGGACCAUCCUCCAAGGCUAAAUACUCCUGACUGACCGAUAGUGAACCAGUACCGUGAGGGAAAGGCGAAAAGAACCCCGGCGAGGGGAGUGAAAAAGAACCUGAAACCGUGUACGUACAAGCAGUGGGAGCCUCUUUAUGGGGUGACUGCGUACCUUUUGUAUAAUGGGUCAGCGACUUAUAUUCUGUAGCAAGGUUAACCGUAUAGGGGAGCCGAAGGGAAACCGAGUCUUAACUGGGCGUUAAGUUGCAGGGUAUAGACCCGAAACCCGGUGAUCUAGCCAUGGGCAGGUUGAAGGUUGGGUAACACUAACUGGAGGACCGAACCGACUAAUGUUGAAAAAUUAGCGGAUGACUUGUGGCUGGGGGUGAAAGGCCAAUCAAACCGGGAGAUAGCUGGUUCUCCCCGAAAGCU